rnacentral:rRNA from 1 species
GAUGAACGCUGGCGGCGUGCUUAACACAUGCAAGUCGAACGGAAAGGCUCCAGCUUGCUGGAGUACUCGAGUGGCGAACGGGUGAGUAACACGUGGGUAAUCUGCCCUGCACUCUGGGAUAAGCCUGGGAAACUGGGUCUAAUACUGGAUAUGACCUUUCUCCUUAUGGGGUUUGGUGGAAAGUUUUUCGGUGUAGGAUGAGCCCGCGGCCUAUCAGCUUGUUGGUGGGGUGAUGGCCUACCAAGGCGACGACGGGUAGCCGGCCUGAGAGGGUGAUCGGCCACAUUGGGACUGAGAUACGGCCCAGACUCCUACGGGAGGCAGCAGUGGGGAAUAUUGCACAAUGGGCGGAAGCCUGAUGCAGCGACGCCGCGUGAGGGAUGACGGCCUUCGGGUUGUAAACCUCUUUCAGCAGGGACGAAGCGUAAGUGACGGUACCUGCAGAAGAAGCACCGGCUAACUAUGUG